rnacentral:rRNA from 1 species
GACAGAGGCCUCGAGCGUUAGGCGGAAUCACUGGGCUUAAAGCGUGUGUAGGCGGGCCCGUAAGUGUCUUGUGAAAUCCCACGGCUCAACCGUGGAACUGCUGGGCAUACUGCGGGUCUUGGGCCAACUAGGGGCAGCCGGAACAAGCGGUGGAGCGGUGAGAUGCGUAGAUAUCGGAAGGAACGCCGGUGGCGAAAGCGGCGUGCUGGCCCUCUUCUGACGCUGAGGCGCGAAAGCCAGGGGAGCGAACGGG